rnacentral:rRNA from 1 species
CCUACGGGGGGCAGCAGUGAGGAAUAUUGGUCAAUGGACGAGAGUCUGAACCAGCCAAGUAGCGUGAAGGAUGACUGCCCUAUGGGUUGUAAACUUCUUUUAUAUCGGAAUAAAAUGAUCCACGUGUGGGAUUUUGUAUGUACUAUAUGAAUAAGGAUCGGCUAACUCCGUGCCAGCAGCCGCGGUAAUACGGAGGAUCCGAGCGUUAUCCGGAUUUAUUGGGUUUAAAGGGAGCGUAGGUGGCUUGUUAAGUCAGUUGUGAAAGUUUGCGGCUCAACCGUAAAAUUGCAGUUGAAACUGGCAGUCUUGAGUACAGUUGAGGUGGGCGGAAUUCGUGGUGUAGCGGUGAAAUGCUUAGAUAUCACGAAGAACUCCGAUUGCGAAGGCAGUUCACUGGACUGCAACUGACACUGAGGCUCGAAAGUGUGGGUAUCAAACAGGAUUAGAUACCCCUGUAGUC